UUCUGAAGGAAUCCUCAGGAUGAUGGGGUGUCCUGUUAGUGCAGCAGCUGCCUCUGUGGCAGAGGGGUCCC
rnacentral:sRNA from 1 species